CACAGAGGUCUCGAGCGUUGUUCGGAUUCAUUGGGCGUAAAGGGUGCGUAGGUGGCAGGGUAAGUCGGAUGUGAAAUCCCGGGGCUCAACCUCGGAACUGCAUUCGAUACUGCUUUGCUUGAGUACUGGAGAGGAGAUUGGAAUUUACGGUGUAGCAGUGAAAUGCGUAGAUAUCGUAAGGAAGACCAGUGGCGAAGGCGGAUCUCUGGACAGUUACUGACACUGAGGCACGAAGGCCAGGGGAGCAAACGGG
rnacentral:rRNA from 1 species